AUGAACGCUGGCGGCGUGCCUAAUACAUGCAAGUCGAGCGAACAGACGAGGAGCUUGCUCCUCUGACGUUAGCGGCGGACGGGUGAGUAACACGUGGAUAACCUACCUAUAAGACUGGGAUAACUUCGGGAAACCGGAGCUAAUACCGGAUAAUAUAUUGAACCGCAUGGUUCAAUAGUGAAAGACGGUUUUGCUGUCACUUAUAGAUGGAUCCGCGCCGCAUUAGCUAGUUGGUAAGGUAACGGCUUACCAAGGCAACGAUGCGUAGCCGACCUGAGAGGGUGAUCGGCCACACUGGAACUGAGACACGGUCCAGACUCCUACGGGAGGCAGCAGUAGGGAAUCUUCCGCAGUGGGCGAAAGCUUGACGGAGCAACGCCGCGUGAGUGAUGAAGGUCUUCGGAUCGUAAAACUCUGUUAUUAGGGAAGAACAAAUGUGUAAGUAACUAUGCACGUCUUGACGGUACCUAAUCAGAAAGCCACGGCUAACUACGU
rnacentral:rRNA from 1 species